UACAGAGGGUGCGGGCGUUGCUCGGAAUUACUGGGCGUAAAGGGCGCGUAGGCGGAUAGUUUAGUCAGAGGUGAAAGCCCAGGGCUCAACCCUGGAAUUGCCUUUGAUACUGGCUAUCUUGAGUUCGGGAGAGGUGAGUGGAACUCCGAGUGUAGAGGUGAAAUUCGUAGAUAUUCGGAAGAACACCAGUGGCGAAGGCGACUCACUGGCCCGAUACUGACGCUGAGGCGCGAAAGCGUGGGGAGCAAACAGG
rnacentral:rRNA from 1 species